rnacentral:rRNA from 1 species
AGUUGGUGGAGUGAUUUGUCUGGUUAAUUCCGAUAACGAACGAGACUCUGUCCUGCUAAAUAGUUUCUACUUCUCUUUUGAGUAGAGAUUUCUUCUUAGAGGGACUGGUGACUCUUAGUCACACGAGAUUGAGCAAUAACAGG